GGGCGAUUAGCUCAGAUGGUUAGAGUGCCUGCUUGACAUGCAGGAGGCCGCUGGUUCAAUUCCAGCAUCGCCCACCG
rnacentral:tRNA from 1 species